rnacentral:misc_RNA from 1 species
GGAAGGAUCAUUAACACGUAUCCACGUAUAUCAACCAACUGUGAACAUGUUUUCAACUCUCCCUGCAUCUUACAUGAAUUGGAAUUGAAUCUAAAUAAUGAAAUGGGAAUUUGUCGUUCGCGACUAUUCUGUUUAGUUCAAACACUUGUGCGCUUCGGUGCACAGACAAUUGUAGUUCGACCGUCAGUCCAACCUUUUCUGCUAUCUGCUGCAGCCUUUCAUGGCAGCGAUAGUGGAAUACUCAUACACACUAAAAUCACCCCAUUUUUGCUAGUUGACUUUUAUAUGUUAAUUCGAGAGUUGCGCUUAAUUGCGCGCUUGAGUUACACGUUUAUUUAUUUGAACGUUAAAAUUACAACUCUUAGCAAUGGAUAUCUUGGUUCUCGCAACGAUGAAGAACGCAGCGAAAUGCGAUACGUAAUGCGAAUUGCAGAAUUCAGUGAAUCAUCAAAUCUUUGAACGCAAAUUGCGCUCUUGGGUAGCCCUAGGAGCACGCCUCCCUCUCAGUAUCGGUUCAACAACCUCUCAGCAGCGUAUUCUUUUAUAGAAUACGUGUUAGCUGGAUAAUGAGAGUCUGAUUCUUCACGAAUUAGUCUCUUGAAAUAUAUCGAGUGAGCAUCAUAUUCUUAUACUUCGAUGUCAUGUCGAAGCCGGUCUCUGACUGGUUGUUAUGAGAGUGACGUGAAUACUGGCCUGUUUUAUGGUCUCACAUUUACGUGUAACUUUCAUCAACUAUGAAAAAGUCUAGGAUAGGUGUGUAGGAAGAGUUGCCUCAUGUUACGCGGCCCUUAACCAGGCUGCAAUCGGCUUUGAUUUGAAAUUAAUUUUUCUAUCCAAGUCUGAAUUUUGAUCUGAGAUGAAGCGAGACAACCCCCUGAAUUUAAGCAUAUUAAUAAGGGGAGGAAAAGAAACUAACAAGGAUUCCCUUAGUAACGGCGAGUGAAGCGGGAAGAGCUCAAUUUGAAAAUCGACUACCUAAGCGGGUCGUCGAGUUGUAGCCUAGAGACGUACUAUCAGCUGAAACCUGGGUAUAAGUUCUUUGGAAUGAGGCAUCAUAGAGGGUGAGAAUCCCGUAUAUGACCCAAAGCUUUCAGCGUACGAUGUAUGUUCAUCGAGUCGAGUUGUUUGGGAUUGCAGCUCUAAAUGGGUGGUAAGUUUCAUCUAAAGCUAAAUAAUGGCGAGAGACCGAUAGCGAACAAGUACCGUGAGGGAAAGAUGAAAAGAACUUUGAAAAGAGAGUUAAAAGUACUUGAAAUUGCUAAGAGGGAAGCGCUGACAACUAGUGUUUCACUAUGUUCAUCGCCGUCAGCCCCAUUGAAAUGAGUGUGUCGUUGGAAACUCGACAUGGUCAUUUGAAAGGGUGGUUGGCGGUUUAGUACAUAUGUGUGAGUCAAGAUCCAUUCGGUUCUGCUGUGGGAGAAGGUGGGGAGAAAGGUAGGAUAUCUCGGUAUCUGUUAUAGUCUCCUCACUCUACCUCGGCCUGGAUGGAGGAAGGAAUAGUGCGCUGCUUGCGGCUUAGUCCUCAUCUCCUGCGAUCGAAAUUACUCUGAUAGCAAUGCUAUCUCUGUGAUGUAAGGUCGUACUGGGGUGGGUGACUCUAUGUGCUAUCACGAUCUUGUACGAAAUGGUUGUCAUCGACCCGUCUUGAAACACGGACCAAGGAGUCUAACAUCUAUGCGAGUAUUUGAGUGAAAAACUCUGAUGCGCAAUGAAAGUAAAGGCAACUUCGUGUUGCUGAGGUAGGAAUCCGGUCAAACGGAGGCACUAUCGACCGAUCAUCACUUGUGAAAGAUUUGAGUAAGAGCAUAUCUGUUGGGACCCGAAAGAUGGUGAUCUAUGCCUGAACAGGGUGAAGCCAGGAGAAAUUCUGGUGGAGGCUCGUAGCGAUACUGACGUGCAAAUCGUUCGUCUGAUUUGGGUAUAGGGGCGAAAGACUAAUCGAACCAUCUAGUAGCUGGUUCCCUC